rnacentral:rRNA from 1 species
GGAAGGUGCACUUGGAUAAC